rnacentral:piRNA from 1 species
UCCAUAGCAUUUUGAUCAGCACCGUGUUC